rnacentral:sRNA from 1 species
AAAGAGUGUUGCAAAGAUUCCUGCCAAACAGUGAUGGUGAGCUAGUGAGCUUUUGAAUUUUGAAGUUGACGAAGACCCAUUAAUAAGAACAUGGGUAGGCACAUUUGUUUGGUGUGUGUACGAGUGUGGGAAAUAAGCGACUGUAUUAAGUUGGGAGUGUGGUGUAUGAGCUUGAGGUGAACUUUUCUGGGUUGAGAGGAGAAGGUCAUAUCAGGUAAUGUGCAGCUGUGAAAUGUUGAUAUGUUGUUGCAGGUUGGAGGCAAGUGUGUGGCCAUUUGCGAGUGUUGAAGACGAAGAAGGGUGGUCUGUUUUGAAGGGAAGCAAAUGGCUGGGUGAAGAUGAAGCAUGUGGCUGAAGAGGAAGAAGGAAGUCCGGUGUAUUCGUUUCCGGCCAUGAUAUUCCAUUCGAAGCUUCUUCUUCUUCUUCUUCUUCUUCUUGUGACGAAGCUGAGGAUGCACCAACAUGCAGUUGAAGGAGUUAGGUGAAGCAUCCUGGAGCUAGUGUUGUAAACCUUGUGGGACGGGGUACUGGACCUUUGUGCUGCACUUGUGAAGGUGGUAGCAAAGAGCACGGUGGGUGGUGGGUACUGAAGGUUGUGAAAGUGUGUUAAGGAAAAAUUUAUUUCUUUGCAUUGGAAUUUUUGGUGGUUCUUUUGCUUUUUAUCAUUCAAG